CUUUAUUUACCAAUUACCAAAACCCCAAACAAAUACCUAUAGUGAAAUUACCAAAAAACCUACACAAAACCAAUUUGUACAAAGGAUAUACAAUUACCUCAACCAGUUUAUACAAGUUGCCAAUUACCUAAAUAAAAAUAUACAAUCGCCAGACUUUAACCCAGAGAAACUAAUUGGAUGGCAAACUAAACCUCUGAAAGGAUAUAAUAAAUUAAUUGCCCUAAAUAAAUCGGAUCCAAAAUUAGUACA
rnacentral:lncRNA from 1 species